rnacentral:rRNA from 1 species
CAAUCCUUUAGGGGGGCAGCAGUAGGGAAUCUUCCACAAUGGGCGCAAGCCUGAUGGAGCAACGCCGCGUGAGUGAGGAAGGCUUUCGGGUCGUAAAGCUCUGUUGCCAGGGAAGAAUAAGGGCCAGUUAACUGCUGGUUCGAUGACGGUACCUGAGAAGAAAGCCCCGGCUAACUACGUGCCAGCAGCCGCGGUAAUACGUAGGGGGCAAGCGUUGUCCGGAAUUAUUGGGCGUAAAGCGCGCGCAGGCGGUCUUUUAAGUCUGGUGUCUAAGUGCGGGGCUCAACCCCGUGAUGCACUGGAAACUGGGAGACUUGAGUGCAGAAGAGGAGAGCGGAAUUCCACGUGUAGCGGUGAAAUGCGUAGAGAUGUGGAGGAACACCAGUGGCGAAGGCGGCUCUCUGGACUGUAACUGACGCUGAGCGCGAAGCUACCC